UCAAUGUCAUGAUGCCCCAGCAUUAAUAUAACACUGCAGGUAUUUCUACGUCUGCAAUUCUAUUAGUUCACACAUGUUCCAGCCGACAGGUUUAUGGCUUACUCAGUGACACUGUCCUUAGUAGAAGCUGAGCUACGUUCUAUUACUACUUAAAUAGGGUUAUAGAGCAGUUCACACUAGGUGUACAUUGGCUUUCGUGAGAUGUUUUGCAAUUUAAAGUCUUUAAAAUAGCGAUAAUUGCUAGAGGAUCUCUUGGUAACUGGACCGGCCUAGGCAAAUGCAUAAGGCCUCCAAUUGUUGUGCAAAAACAUAAUUUAUUUUGACGACUAUUUGAUAUGGAACAAACAAAAAAACAGUAUACUGACAAGAUCUCCGCCUGAUGAAAGACAUUUUUGUCUUGCUUGGUACCAAGUCAUAGGAUCAUGUGAACUGAGAUAGUAACAGGAACCAUUGAAAUAUUGCCAGGAAGGAUCUGCACAGCUGGUGGCUA